rnacentral:rRNA from 1 species
UUUUAUGAGAGUUUGAUCCUGGCUCAGGACGAACGCUGGCGGCGUGCCUAAUACAUGCAAGUCGAACGCUUCUUUUUCCACCGGAGCUUGCUCCAUCGGAAAAAGAGGAGUGGCGAACGGGUGAGUAACACGUGGGUAACCUGCCCAUCAGAAGGGGAUAACACUUGGAAACAGGUGCUAAUACCGUAUAACAAUCGAAACCGCAUGGUUUUGAUUUGAAAGGCGCUUUCGGGUGUCGCUGAUGGAUGGACCCGCGGUGCAUUAGCUAGUUGGU